ACUCCUACGGGAGGCAGCAGUAGGGAAUAUUGCGCAAUGGGGGAAACCCUGACGCAGCAAUGCCACGUGAGUGAGGAAGGGUUUCGGCUCGUAAAGCUCUGUCCUAAGGGAAGAACGGUAGAUCGGUUAAUACCCGGACUAUUUGACGGUACCUUAGAAGAAAGCACCGGCUAACUCCGUGCCAGCAGCCGCGGUAAUACGGAGGGUGCAAGCGUUGUUCGGAUUUAUUGGGCGUAAAGCGCGCGCAGGCGGACUAGUAAGUCAGAUGUGAAAUCCCAGGGCCUAACCCUGGAACUGCGUCUGAAACUGCAAGUCUAGAAUCUCAUAGGGGUGGGGAAUUGCAUCGUGUAGGGUAAAAGUACCGUAGAGAUGUGAAGGAACACCAGAGGCGAAGGCGCCCACCUGGAUGAGUAUUGACGCUGAGGCGCGAAAAGCGUGGGGAGCAAAACAGGAUUAGAUACCCUGGUAGGAUAGCG
rnacentral:rRNA from 1 species